UGCCAGUAGUCAUAUGCUUGUUUCAAAGAUUAAGCCAUGCAUGUGCAAGCAUGCGCUGAAGUAAAGUGAAGCCGCGAAUAGCUCAUUACAACAGCCGUAGUUUCUUGGAUCUCAUCUCUACUUGGAUAACUGUGGUAAUUCUAGAGCUAAUACAUGCAAACGAGCUCCGACCUUGCGGGACGAGCGCAUUUAUUAGAACAAAACCAUCCGGACUCUCGCGAGUCCGUUGCUGGUGACUCUGAAUAACUGAGCCAAUCGCACAGUCUAGCACUGGCGAUGCAUCUUUCAAGUGUCUGCCUUAUCAACUGUCGACGGUAGUUUAUGUGACUACCGUGGUUGUAACGGGUGACGGAGAAUCAGGGUUCGACUCCGGAGAGGGAGCCUGAGAAACGGCUACCACUUCUAAGGAAGGCAGCAGGCGCGCAAAUUACCCACUCUCGGCACGAGGAGGUAGUGACGAACAAUACCAAGGCGAGGCUCUUCGAGUUUCGUCAUUGGAAUGAGAACAAUGCAAAUCUUUUAACGAGGAUCUAGUGGAGGACAAGUCUGGU
rnacentral:rRNA from 1 species